UUGAACGCUGGCGGCAUGCUUUACACAUGCAAGUCGAACGGCAGCGGGGGCUUCGGCCUGCCGGCGAGUGGCGAACGGGUGAGUAAUGUAUCGGAACGUACCCAGUCGUGGGGGAUAACUACGCGAAAGCGUAGCUAAUACCGCAUACGCCCUGAGGGGGAAAGCGGGGGACCUUCGGACCUCGCGCGACUGGAGCGGCCGAUGUCGGAUUAGCUAGUUGGUGGGGUAAAGGCCUACCAAGGCGACGAUCCGUAGCUGGUCUGAGAGGAUGAGCAGCCACACUGGGACUGAGACACGGGCCAGACUCCUACGGGAGGCAGCAGUGGGGAAUUUUGGACAAUGGGGGCAAGCCUGAUCCAGCCAUGCCGCGUGAGUGAAGAAGGCCUUCGGGUUGUAAAGCUCUUUCAGACGGAAAGAAAUGGGGCGCGUGAAUAGCGUGCGUGGAUGACGGUACUGGCAGAAGAAGCACCGGCUAACUACGU
rnacentral:rRNA from 1 species